ensembl:lncRNA
CAUACACGAGGGCGCACGGAGUUCUUUGAGCUGCACGUUUCCUACUUCCUUUCUUUGUUCGUUCUCAGGUUGUGAAAGGUGCCUUUCACUUCAUUCUAUUUAGAUCUUUGUUUUCUCGUGAUUCGGUCCCUCUCCGGUUCUGCCCCUCGCCACAGCUGAUUUCGGUGAACUCCAGAGGGAAAUCACUUGUGGAAGAGGCACAGCAAUUGCUUCAGCUACUGCUGCCUUCUGACUGAAUCGAAAGAUUCGCUUAGGCUCCUCUGCAAGUUAAAGAUGCCAUUUGUUUGCUCUCAAAGAUGAAUGCAAUGUCACAUCCCUUCCCUCCGAGGCUGUGGUGCUCCCCCAGCACCGUGGCGUUUCGUGCUGGCGUUGCUCACUGCGGGCUGCCGGUGUUGCUGCGGACAGAUAUGCGUGCAGAUCGAUGGGCAAGCAGCCAGCUCUGCUUGUGCUGAUGUAGUGCUCAGGAGCACCCUCCCCAGAUUUUAAUCCUCUGUGGCUAACUUUUCCUGUUCCUCUGUGGCAAUGCCAGAUAUGCCUGCUAUGACUUGAGGAGGUGGUACUCUUCCUGUUGCACAGAGAACAAAGUCUUUCUGGACUGAGCCGUGGUUCAGUUUUGUCAUCUGUUCUUAAGCUGAACCAUCACCACUUCAUGUUUUUUUUUUUUUUUUAAUGUGGCAAGUUCAGUAAGAAUUGGGUAACAUGUGACUAAUCUCUAUACCCCAUUUAAAAUCCAUUCGAAAUAGUGUUUUCUGCUUCAUUUCUUCUUGCCACCCCUCCAAAAAUUUGCCAGAUUACCCAAUUUCGUCUCUGUGUCUGGGUGCCACCCACCUCCCUGGUCUACUGAAAAUCCCCAUCCCAUACGGAUUGCUGGUCAUUUCCACAUGACAAUUUACUGAACGUCUUCUUCACGUCCAUACAGACAAAGGAAAAAAAGAGUGAUGUCUGGCGUUAACUUCAUCCUCCUUUUUUUCAAUAUUAAAAUGACUUUAACUGUCAAAGUUUGUUCUGAAGUCUCGUAUGUGACUGGCGCUCAUUCUGCUCAUCUUUCUCUCUUCCCCGUCUAUUUUUCUUCAGAUGGCAACGUUCCCAACUCAACGAAUUUACCAGCCCUCACUCGUCCAAACCCCGGCCUGAGUUGAUGAGUAAAAUAUGAACCAAUUGCCUCGGUUUUAGCACAUUUAACUCUUUGGUUUUGUUUCCACUUCGGGCAGUGACGUGCAUUUUGCAUUCAGCCUCGGCCACACCACAGCCUGGAAGCUUCUUAUGGCGAACAGAGGUGUGAGGCCUCACUUCAGACGCUCUCCUGAUGCACGGCAGGACUACACUUCUGCUUCUUUCUGCCAGUGCCACUGAAAACCUCUUUCUGUCCCCUUUGUGUCCCCGCCGAGCUCUCUCUGUCAGCGAUUCUCACAGGGCAGAGUCACACGCUAACCCUCUCCUUGUUGAGGGGCCUUCCCUUGAGAAGGUACGCAGUUCCUUC